rnacentral:rRNA from 1 species
UACGUAGGGUGCGAGCGUUGUCCGGAAUUACUGGGCGUAAAGAGCUCGUAGGUGGUUUGUCGCGUUGUUCGUGAAAACUCACAGCUUAACUGUGGGCGUGCGGGCGAUACGGGCAGACUGGAGUACUGCAGGGGAGACUGGAAUUCCUGGUGUAGCGGUGAAAUGCGCAGAUAUCAGGAAGAACACCCGUGGCGAAGGCGGCUCUCUGGUACGUGACUGACGCUGAGACGCGAAAGCGUGGGGAGCGAACAGG